AGUGAACGCUGGCGGUAGGCCUAACACAUGCAAGUCGAACGGCAGCACAGUAAGAGCUUGCUCUUACGGGUGGCGAGUGGCGGACGGGUGAGGAAUACAUCGGAAUCUACUUUUUCGUGGGGGAUAACGUAGGGAAACUUACGCUAAUACCGCAUACGACCUACGGGUGAAAGCAGGGGAUCUUCGGACCUUGCGCGAUUGAAUGAGCCGAUGUCCGAUUAGCUAGUUGGCGGGGUAAGGGCCCACCAAGGCGACGAUCCGUAGCUGGUCUGAGAGGAUGAUCAGCCACACUGGAACUGAGACACGGUCCAGACUCCUACGGGAGGCAGCAGUGGGGAAUAUUGGACAAUGGGCGCAAGCCUGAUCCAGCCAUACCGCGUGGGUGAAGAAGGCCUUCGGGUUGUAAAGCCCUUUUGUUGGGAAAGAAAAGCAGCAGGUUAAUACCCCGCUGUUCUGACGGUACCCAAAGAAUAAGCACCGGCUAACUUCGUG
rnacentral:rRNA from 1 species